UUCUCAUGAUUAAGAGGUGUUUUAGGCCUUUUCCGCAUAUUUAAAUUUGUAAAACUUUCCUAUAAUAUUGAUUUCUUUUCCACUAUAAAAUUGAAUAUGCAAAACCCAGAUUUCGCCUGCCUGUAGAAAUCCCAUCAUAGAACUCCUCUCCGUCUCUCUCUCAAACACACACACAGCAGCGAUGGCUUUGAGGUCGUGUGCAUCCAAGCUUUUCAGCUCCUCCCAAUCCGUCUUUUCCAACUCAGUGAGCAGAGGAAUUCAUUCAACUAGUGUAACAAGAAUGGGAGGACAUGGCCAUGAUGAGCCAUUCUAUCUUCAUGCUAAACACAUGUACAACUUAGACAGGAUGUCCAAUCAGAAGCUGAAGAUGACCCUUGGUGUUUGGUCUGCAGUCGCCAUUGGUGUUAUAGUCCCGGUUUAUGCUGUCGUUUUCCAGCAAAAGAAAACUGCUUCGGGCUAGAUCAGCUUCUUAUUUGGGUCUCCCUCACAAUAAUGCAGUUCUGCGUUCGUUCUUGUGAAGACCAAAACCUAUUGUUUUAAAGCUUUUAAUAGCUUUCAGUUUUAGCUUAGCUAUACAAUGGCGUUUGCUUUUCUUAUUUUUUCAACGGCAACAAAGACGUUUGUGCCUGAUUCUUAAAUAAUAUUUUCUGAAUACGCUUAAAAAAACACCAACUUAUGGAGUGUUUUGUCA